UGGAUCAGUGACGACUGCUGGCGGCGUACGCGUCGUGUCGAAGAAUAGAUGCUUGCAAGAACUCUGAGGUCCAA